rnacentral:rRNA from 1 species
CCUACGGGUGGCAGCAGUGGGGAAUAUUGCACAAUGGGGGAAACCCUGAUGCAGCGACGCCGCGUGAGUGAAGAAGUAAUUCGUUACGUAAAGCUCUAUCAGCAAGGAAGAAAUACUGACCUAACGGUCAGCAGACGGUACCUGAGUAUGAAGCCCAGGCUAACUACGCGCCAGCAGCCGCGGUAAGACGUAGGGGGCAAGCGUUAUCCGGAUUUACUGGGUGUAAAGGGGGCGUAGACGGUGCGCCAAGUCUGAAGUGAAAUGCCGCAGGUUAACUGCGGAACUGCUUUGGAAACUGGCGAACUAGAGUGCUGGAGGGGUAAGCGGAAUUCCUAGUGUAGCGGUGAAAUGCGUAGAUAUUGGGAGGAACACCGGUGGCGAAGGCGGCUUACUGGACCGUAACUGACGUUGAGGCUCGAAAGCGUGGGGAGCGAACAGGAUUAGAUACCCGGGUAGUC